UAUGGCGACCGGCGCACGGGUGAGUAACACGUAUCCAACCUGCCGAUGACUCGGGGAUAGCCUUUCGAAAGAAAGAUUAAUACCCGAUGGCAUAGUUCUUCCGCAUGGUAGAACUAUUAAAGAAUUUCGGUUAUCGAUGGGGAUGCGUUCCAUUAGGCAGUUGGUGAGGUAACGGCUCACCAAACCUUCGAUGGAUAGGGGUUCUGAGAGGAAGGUCCCCCACAUUGGAACUGAGACACGGCCCAA
rnacentral:rRNA from 1 species